rnacentral:rRNA from 1 species
AAAAACAUCUUUUCUUGUUAGUUUUUGAAGUAUGGCCUGCCCGCUGACUUUGGUGUUGAAGGGCCGCGGUAUUUUGACCGUGCAAAGGUAGCAUAGUCAUUAGUUCUUUAAUUGUGAUCUGGUAUGAAUGGCUUGACGAGGCAUGGGCUGUCUUAAUUUUGAAUUGUUUAUUGAAUUUGGUCUUUGAGUUAAAAUUCUUAGAUGUUUUUAUGGGACGAGAAGACCCUAUAGAGUUUAACAUUUAUUAUGGUCCUUUUUCUGUUUGUGAGGGUUCACUGGGCCGUCUAAUAUGUUUUGUUGGGGUGAUGGGAGGGAUAUAAUUUAACCCCUCCUUUUUAUUAUUAUAUUUAUUUAUAUUUGCUUGAUCCAUUUAUUUUGAUUGUAAGAUUAAAUUACCUUAGGGAUAACAGCGUUAUCUUCCUUGAGAGUUCUUAUCGGCAGGGGGGUUUGCGACCUCGAUGUUGGAUUAAGGUUUAUUUUCGGUGUAGGGGCUGAAAUUAUUAGGUCUGUUCGACCUUUAAAAUCUUACGUGAUCUGA